rnacentral:rRNA from 1 species
GACGAACGCUGGCGGCGUGCCUAACACAUGCAAGUCGAACGGAGAUGCGGAAGGUUUACCGGAAGCAUCUUAGUGGCGGACGGGUGAGUAACGCGUGGAUAACCUGCCUCAUACGGGGGGAUAACACAGGGAAACCUGUGCUAAUACCGCAUAACGUCAGAGCACCGCAUGGUGGACUGACCAAAGGAGUCAAAUCCGGUAUGAGAUGGAUCCGCGUCCGAUUAGCUAGUUGGCGGUGUAACGGACCACCAAGGCGACGAUCGGUAGCCGAACUGAGGGGUUGAUCGGCCACAUUGGGACUGAGACACGGCCCAGACUCCUACGGGAGGCAGCAGUGGGGAGUAUUGCGCAAUGGGGGGAACCCUGACGCAGCAACGCCGCGUGAAGGAUGAAGGCCUUCGGGUUGUAAACUUCUUUAGCCGGGGACGAAGAGAUGACGGUACCCGGAGAAUAAGCCACGGCUAACUACGUGCCAGCAGCCGCCGUAA